AGCGCAGGCGGCCAGGUCAGUCUGGAGUGCAAGCCCGGGGCUCAACCCCGGAAUUGCUUUGGAUACUACUUGGCUUGAGUACGUCAGAGGUGAGCGGAAUUCCAGGUGUAGCGGUGAAAUGCGUAGAUAUCUGGAGGAACAUCGGUGGCGAAAGCGGCUCACUGGGACGAAACUGACGCUGAGGCUCGAAAGCGUGGGGAGCGAACGGGAUUAGAUACCCCGGUAGUCCACGCUGUAAACGUUGUGCACUAGGUGUGGGGGGUGUCGACCCCCUCCGUGCCGGAGCUAACGCAUUAAGUGCACCGCCUGGGGAGUACGGUCGCAAGACUGAA
rnacentral:rRNA from 1 species